AACUUUGUAGCUCAGCUGGUAGAGCAUUUGCGACAUUUGGGCAUGUCGUUUCUGUCGCUGGUUCGAAUCCAGUCGAAAUCC